GGGAGUUGCCCUCGCCUCCUAUUGGGCGAGGGGACAGCGCGAGCCCCUCUCCCCCCAGACUGAGCGAGACGGGGAGGGACAGGGGAGAGCGGGGUCAGCGCGCGCCUCCGAGCCCUGGCGCGGCCGUGACCAGUGGAGGGGGUGGGGGCUGAGCCCGCUGGCGGGCGAGGGAGGACUCGGAGAAGCGGUGCAGAAGGGGCAGCGCGCGCGCGCGCGCCUUAUAAGGCCCCCCACCCCGCGAGACACGUGCGCGCCUGAGGCUCGGGCUGGGGGCCGGCCGGGCACCCACCCCCUGCAGCCGGGGGGCUGGGCGGAGGGGUCCUGCCCUUGUCCCUGAGCGGCCGAGCGAGGGGCUGCUCGGCUGUUGGUUCCCAGUCGCCGCGUUCGUGGGGCCUGCGUGACCUUCUCCGGCAGCUCUGGGAUCUUCUCCUGUCGUUGGAGCCGGAGCGGCGCUGACCGGGCCUGCACCGCACGCUGUAGCCGUAGCUGGCUGGUGCAUCAGCCGUGGGGGCCAGGAGCGGCCCUGCCAACCUUAGGCUACUCCGCACUCCAGUGACCAGCCCAGCAGCCUGUAAGCAGGAGCUGUCCCACAGACGGAACACAAGCAGCAGCAGGAAGAAAUGACACGAAGCACAAUGAUUGCGUAACAACUUGGAGCAGGGAUCCUCUGAGAAUGCUUCAAAAUGCCCCCAGGAUCCCCAAAGGUUGGCUUAACCCAUGUUCCUGGGCCAAAGUAGCCUGAGAGGAGAAGGACCUACAGAACCAGGGAUCUGACCAACUGCAGGCCCAAGACCGCCUGCAUAUGGUUGGGGCUACCCAAACAUGCACACUGAGCCUGAACAAGCAGUAGUUGAGAGAAAGAAGAGAAUUCCUCAGUUGCUCUCAGCCACAAAGAUGAUACCGGUGGCUCUACUAGCCAGGAAAGAAUUAACUGCCAGCCAUUUGGCUUCCCUUGUACCAGGGUACCCCAAAGCAGCACCUGUCCAUAUCACAGUGAGAGGUGCCCCGCCUUCCUACCAAGCUUGAACACUCUUGAGCCUUGUGCUUGAUUUCCAUACUUUCCCCUUUCAUUCCUUGUUCCCACACACACCAUUUCUAAUUUCACUCUAUUCUUUCCCUUAAUAAAGUGUUAGUUUCUUCUUA